GUAGGGAGCAAGCGUUGUUCGGAAUUACUGGGUGUAAAGGGCGUGCAGGCGGCCGCCCAAGUUGGAUGUGGAAUCUUCCAGCUCAACUGGAAAAUUGCAUUCAAAACUGGGUGGCUUGAGUACAGGAGAGGAGAACGGAAUUUCCAGUGUAGCGGUGAAAUGCGUAGAUACUGGAAGGAACACCGGUGGCGAAGGCGGUUCUCUGGCCUGAUACUGACGCUGAGACGCGAAAGCUAGGGUAGCGAACGGGGGAUUAGAUACCCCGGUAGUCCUAGCCCUAAACGAUGGACACUAGGUGUAGGAGGUAUCGACCCCUCCUGUGCCCGCAGCUAACGCAUUAAGUGUCCCACCUGGGGAGUACGGCCGCAAGGCUG
rnacentral:rRNA from 1 species